rnacentral:rRNA from 1 species
CCAGAGAUGGAUUGGUGCCGUUCGGGAACUCUGACACAGGUGCUGCAUGGCUGUCGUCAGCUCGUGUCGUGAGAUGGUUGGGUUAACGUCCCGUAACGAGCGCCAACCCUUGUCCUUAGUUACCAGCACGUUAUGGUGGGCACUCUAAGGAGACUGCCGGUGACAAACCGGAGGAAGGUGGGGAUGACGUCAAGUCAUCAUGGCCCUUACGGCCUGGGCUACACACGUGCUACAAUGGUCGGUACAAAGGGUUGCCAAGCCGCGAGGUGGAGCUAAUCCCAUAAAACCGAUCGUAGUCCGGAUCGCAGUCUGCAACUCGACUGCGUGAAGUCGGAAUCGCUAGUAAUCGUGAAUCAGAAUGUCACGGUGAAUACGUUCCCGGGCCUU